CUCUUGGUUCCUCUCGGAAGUCCUGCCCUUGCCCUCGCUCUCAUUGCCUCCCCGUCCCUGUCUCCCCUGACACUCGUUCCUCCAGAAGCCCGGUAAACCCCGUCCUUACGAGCCCCGCCCCUAGCUCUUCUACUACGGAGGGGAACUGCAGAGCCAGAAGAGCACGGAGCAGCAACUCGCAGCCCAAUUGGUGACGCUGCAGAAUGAACUGGAGCUGGCGGAGACCAAAUGCGCCUUGCAGGAGGAGAAGCUGCAGCAGGACGCGCUGCAGACAGCGGAGGCCUGGGCCAUAUUCCAGGAGCAGACCGUAGUCCUGCAGGUGCGGCCCCACUCAGACGCCAAGGUGCCUCCCGCCUCUCCUCCCCCAGACCUGGGGCGGUGUGACGGGCAGCUUCGCAGAGUGCAGUACAGCACCGAGUCGCUCAUGGAGGAGAUGGCCAGGGCGGACCGAGUGAGCGCCUGCGCGGGUCCGGGCGGGGUGGGCUGGAGCGGGACACCCCUCCCCAUCCCCCCCGCGGUACCGCCUCCCCCUCCUCCUGGAAACCGGGCCGGCGCCGCGGGCGCGGAGGUAGCUGGAUGCGGCCCUCUCUCCCCGCAGGAGACGCGGCUGUUCGGCGGUCCUCGCGCGCUGGCCAUCAGGCGCUGCUGACGCUGCCGCUCCUCUUCCUGGGGCUGUCGCUGCUCUGGACGGUGCUGUUGGACCCCGGCGCCGUCUCCGCGUGGCUCUGGAGCCUCACCUCGGAGACGACGCUGCGCCGCCUGCGCUACACGCUGUCCCCGCUGCUGGAGCUGCGCGCUAACGGGCUGCUGCCAACCUAAGUGCAGCGCCCCGCGCCUGGCUCCAGGUGGACUCCAGGGCACCGGCUUUAUUUCUGGUGCACUCCUCUCCUGAGAGUGUAGACCAAGGUCGCCUAAUAAACUCCUCAAGGGAU
ensembl:lncRNA TMEM191A transmembrane protein 191A (pseudogene)